UAGCACAUCUAGGACACUCCACCGAACCAUUACUUGCCGGAAUAAAUAGUAUUGAAACGACGCAACGCAAGCAGAUGGACAAGAGCGCCUGUGCAUCAGGAUUCCGCAACUGGCAUGCCAUGCACCACCUCCGCAUGUCCCCCUUCUUCCACUGCGUGCGCUGCUGUAGCCUCCUGCACCGAUCGACGUACGUCAUCGUCGUGUGCACGAAGGACGCGUGCUAGUAGGUCGAGUACGAGAGAUAGCUGUACACGGAGACUACAGCUGGGGAGAGCGUGGCUGUUGCUAGCCUCUGCGCGUAUCUUGUCCUUGCCUCUUGUCUGGCGCGCUCCCCUCGCUGCAGGCCACCUCGCUGAACGCACACAAGCCCUGCCCUCCCACGCUGCAGUGAAACGCAAACCCCACUAGCGCGUCUCUCUCUGUGCCCUUCACUUCUUUCCUCCCAUGCAAGGCAUCACCCAGUGGGCGCAGACGCACUCUGAUAGCAGAUGUACCGCGCUGGGGCACAAAACUUGUGCAGACGCGUACGCACACGCGCACUGACUGUUGCAUCCACCUUGUACGUAGCCUUGUUUCCUCUCUCAUCUUCCGCUCAG
rnacentral:misc_RNA from 1 species